AAAAAAUUCUAAUAAAAUAUAAAAAUAAAGAAAGAAAACAAAUAUUUUAUAUUCAUAAUGUAUAAUGAAGUUAACAUAAAAACAUUAUAAAAUUUCCUGACUACAAAGUUAACAAACCUUGUUAGAAACACAAAAAAGGGUUUCUUAAAACUAGAUAUGUCUUUGUUAGAACCUUAAUCAAAACACGUCCCUUGAAUUGUCAUCUACCACCUGAGCCAAAAAAACAAAAUACUUGAUUUCUUUCAAAUGAUUCAAGUCCUUCAAUUCUCUCAUAGAAAGUUGUUAUAACCCCUGCAGUAAGAUGUAUAUCAGUUUAUCUAAAUCAGAUGUUUAUUAGAUGGGAAAAAGUUAUUAAUUAAAUGCUUGUUAAUCCCCAAGCAUAUAACAGAAAUCUUUGGUCUCAACAGGAGGAACAUUUGCUUAUGCAUUGCAUUGAAGGGAUAUAUCUAAUAUACUUAAAAGGACCUUGAAGCUUCGUUACUUUAUUUAUAUCUAAAUAUGCAUUCGACUUCUUAUAUUGUGAUUCAAUGCCAAGUGGGAAUGCAUCAAACUAGACGUAAUUUGAUGACAUUUUUGUUUAGUCGUAGUAUUUUGAUAAUAAUAGCAACAACGAAAAUUUUUAGUUUAGUAUUGUGGUUAGCCACUUGUGUCAACUUUCGCACCAGCAAUGAAAUCAACUAUAAGUGAUAAUGUUCAAGAAUGCUCUAACAUCAGCUUUACUAGACAAAUAAUUUAGAAGUGGAUAAAUCAAUGAAAAAUGAAAAUAUAAAAAGCAUUACCCAUGAAAUCAACUAUACUCACUCUUUCCAACCAAUGCUACUUGUUGCUCAACGAAGUUCAGAUCCCUAGGCAAGUACGAAAAGAUGUGCACAAUAUCUGAAGCAAAAACCAAUAUGCAAUCAGAAGGAUUACUGAAACCUAAAGUUGCAUUUCAAGAGAAUCCAAAAUCUAGAGUUGAUGCAAAUGCAACAUAGCGAAUAUCAAUGACUUGUAAUUCACAGAGGGGAAAAUCACCAGGGAAUUGUGUAUGUCUAUGAAAACAGAAGCCUAUGGAUUAGCCAAGUUAAUAGAACCUCUUUAGGAACAAUACAACUACAAUCAAGUUAUUAUUACUAUAAUAAUACAUAGAUAAAUGAAGAAAGUGCUCACUGCAUUGAGCAUUCUAACUGCAGGCUCUAUCACUACCAACCAUCAUAUUAUUGAAAUCCCAAUAACACUAAAUCCUACCUAUUAUAAAAUAUUAAAAGUUAUAUAAAUUAUUGCAUUAAUUAUAACAUUAUUACUAAUAAUAAUAUAUUAACCAACAGUGACCAAAGCCAUAAAAGUACUACUAUCUUUGCCCUCAAAUUUCAAAUCAAUUCCUGUCAAUUUCGACUAAUUUUUUCACACGCGCCAUAAAUAAUUCUCAACAACCCAUAUACGAACCCCUAAAUCUCCAAAACCCAACGCAGCCCCUAACAAUGUACGAAGAAGAGGCUGAGAAAUUUUUAGUAAAGCAUAUUAUUUAUAAAAUUUACUUUCCUACAUUAGUCAAAAUUUCAGCAAAAUUAAUAUGAAAAGCUAAAAUAAAUUUUGCAUCAAAAGAAAAGAAUUACUGAGAUUUCCUAUAGACAAUUAAAAUUUUAAUGGAAGAGCUUACGGAAAGGGUGGAAAUGGUGCCAUUGGAGAAGAGAUGCUCACAUACACCGUCGACGCCACUGCCGCACUGUUCAUCUCAUAUUCCAUGAAGGAAAAUAAUAUAUUUCGAAAGGAAUGAUUGGAAUUUUAGAAACAGGGUUUCAAAUUUUGAGAGAACAAAAUGGUGAGCGUGAGAGGGAAUUUGAAAUUUCAUACGAGGGAGGGUUUUAUUUGGGAUUUGGAAAUU
rnacentral:lncRNA from 1 species